GAUUUUUUUUGGUGUGCAGGCAGAUGUGUGGCUCCAGUGCUUCUGUGCGAAGAUCCUGCCACAUGCUAAUGAUCUGAAUGACCAGUGUAAAACCCUCCACUCAUUUAAUUUCCUUGCACUGAGAUGAAGCUUGAAGUGUUCUGCAAAGGAAGAAUUGUGCUUGAUUCCCUCUGCUCAUAGCUACCGCAUCAUAUAAUUCCUUUCAUCAAAUGGUAAAGCUCCAUCUUAAAAGAAGUCUGCUACAUUUAGCACUGUUUUGGUUGUUAGAAACCUCCUUCUCAUUCCUCGCCUAAGUAGCUAAGGUAUGAGUCCUGUUAUGUUAAGCACAGCAUGAACACAGACGCCCUUUCUGAAGGAGUUUACCAUGUGGCUGUCGCAAGUGGCUCAUGUCUCCAACCACCUG